rnacentral:rRNA from 1 species
CGGAGUGCAUGGUGCUUGCACUAUCACUUAGCGGCGGACGGGUGAGUAAUGCUUAGGAAUCUGCCUAUUAGUGGGGGACAACAUUUCGAAAGGAAUGCUAAUACCGCAUACGUCCUACGGGAGAAAGCAGGGGAUCUUCGGACCUUGCGCUAAUAGAUGAGCCUAAGUCGGAUUAGCUAGUUGGUGGGGUAAAGGCCUACCAAGGCGACGAUCUGUAGCGGGUCUGAGAGGAUGAUCCGCCACACUGGGACUGAGACACGGCCCAGACUCCUACGGGAGGCAGCAGUGGGGAAUAUUGGACAAUGGGCGCAAGCCUGAUCCAGCCAUGCCGCGUGUGUGAAGAAGGCCUUAUGGUUGUAAAGCACUUUAAGCGAGGAGGAGGCUACUGAAGUUAAUACCUUCAGAUAGUGGACGUUACUCGCAGAAUAAGCACCGGCUAACUCUGUGCCAGCAGCCGCGGUAAUACAGAGGGUGCAAGCGUUAAUCGGAUUUACUGGGCGUAAAGCGCGCGUAGGCGGCUAAUUAAGUCAAAUGUGAAAUCCCCGAGCUUAACUUGGGAAUUGCAUUCGAUACUGGUUAGCUAGAGUGUGGGAGAGGAUGGUAGAAUUCCAGGUGUAGCGGUGAAAUGCGUAGAGAUCUGGAGGAAUACCGAUGGCGAAGGCAGCCAUCUGGCCUAACACUGACGCUGAGGUGCGAAAGCAUGGGGAGCAAACAGGAUUAGAUACCCUGGUAGUCCAUGCCGUAAACGAUGUCUACUAGCCGUUGGGGCCUUUGAGGCUU